rnacentral:rRNA from 1 species
UAAGCUUUGAUCCAGAGAUUUCCGAAUGGGGAAACCCAGCAUGAGUUAUGUCAUGUUAUCGAUAUGUGAAUACAUAGCAUAUCAGAAGGCACACCCGGAGAACUGAAACAUCUUAGUACCCGGAGGAAGAAAAAGAAAAUUCGAUUCCCUUAGUAGCGGCGAGCGAAACGGGAAGAGCCCAAACCAACAAGCUUGCUUGUUGGGGUUGUAGGACACUCUAUACGGAGUUACAAAGGACGACAUUAGACGAAUCAUCUGGAAAGAUGAAUCAAAGAAGGUAAUAAUCCUGUAGUCGAAAAUGUUGUCUCUCUUGAGUGGAUCCUGAGUACGACGGAACACGUGAAAUUCCGUCGGAAUCUGGGAGGACCAUCUCCUAAGGCUAAAUACUCUCUAGUGACCGAUAGUGAACCAGUACCGUGAGGGAAAGGUGAAAAGCACCCCGGAAGGGGAGUGAAAUAGAACCUGA